AUUGGUUUGCCAUGGCUCUUUGAAACAGUUACUCUUGUCCUCAUUGUAGAGAUGGUGAUACUAAGGCAGAAAAUGGUAAGACUAGCCUGGACUUCUUUUUGUGGAGACUGGAUUCCAAGAUUGAAAGUAGAAGCUACAUGCUUUCUCCAAGCAGGGCUUUAAGACUUCACUUCUGCAACAUUUUAUUGAUGAAAGCAAGUCACAAGACCAGACUGAUUCAAGGGGUGGAGAAAUAGACCCUACUUCUUGAUGGAGGGAGCAGUAGAGUUACAUUGCAAAGGGAUCUGGACAAAAAAAGGAGUGAUUUAUUAGGAAUCAUGUUUAACAAUUUACCACAAUCCCCAGCGCAACUGCCUGUUAGCUGGAUCCAGAAAUGUCUACAACUACUGCAAUGCCAUUUGACCUUAGGGGUGAUGUGACCCAGUGUAAAGAGAUGGUGGUCUUAACCAAUCACAGUUAAGAUAGUUUAGUUUUGGAAGGUAUAAAAAAUAUGUAACAACAUGAAUGCACUUUUAGGGUCAGACAAGAGACUUAGAAAGAGCCUGCAAAAGGGAGGAGCCCUGAGGCCUAAGCCCCAUGAGUGUCAAUGCUUACCUGUAUCUAGACACUGGCAUCCCCCUUUUGAUAAGGCCAAGAUUGAUUGUUUUCCUUUCCUACCUACCCUAUAUCUAAUCGAUGUGCAAACACUGUUGACACACAAAAGAACCCUAAAUUCAACAAUUUGUGAAGAAUUUUUGCACUAACAUGUUAGUUCA
rnacentral:lncRNA from 1 species